UGUUUCGGCUAGGGGGUCAUCCCGACUUACCAACCCGAUGCAAACUGCGAAUACCGAAGAAUGUUAUCACGGGAGACACACGGCGGGUGCUAACGUCCGUCGUGAAGAGGGAAACAACCCAGACCGCCAGCUAAGGUCCCAAAGUCAUGGUUAAGUGGGAAACGAUGUGGGAAGGCACAGACAGCCAGGAUGUUGGCUUAGAAGCAGCCAUCAUUUAAAGAAAGCGUAAUAGCUCACUGGUCGAGUCGGCCUGCGCGGAAGAUGUAACGGGGCUAAACCAUGCACCGAAGCUGCGGCAGCGACACUAUGUGUUGUUGGGUAGGGGAGCGU
rnacentral:rRNA from 1 species